rnacentral:rRNA from 1 species
UUGGGAUAAGCCUGGGAAACUGGGUCUAAUACUGGAUAGGACCAUGCUGUAGGUGGUGUGGCGGAAAGAUUAGUUUCGGUAAGGGAUGAGCUCGCGGCCUAUCAGCUUGUUGGUGGGGUAAUGGCCUACCAAGGCGUCGACGGGUAGCCGGCCUGAGAGGGUGGACGGCCACAUUGGGACUGAGAUACGGCCCAG